rnacentral:lncRNA from 1 species
AAAAUCUAAAGCACAGGGCACAGUUGUUACAUGGCCUUAGCAUCUGAUCUGCAUCAUGUCUUUCGUUUUGUCCUCCUCCUCUUAGUGUUAGAAACAAAGUAUUUAAUUGAACAACUUACUAGAAAUUUGUUCUUCAUCUUAUAUAUUGUAAUAUAUUGUGGUUUGGAGUUUGUUAUUGUUGAGAACGGUGGGGUGGGGGGAGUGUUAGGUUAACAUUUCACUAUGUGGUUCUGGCUGACCUGUAGCUCACCAUGUAGACUAUGCUGGCCAGGAACUUACCAUGUAGCUCAUGCUUCACUGUGGCUGGAACUCAGAGAUCCUGUGUACUCUUUCUUCCCAGUUAAAGGCCUACACCACAACCCCCAGCAGCUCACUUGUCUUUGAGAUUCCCUUUUGUAUUUUAGCUGUGCAUAUUCCUUUUCAUUUGUUAAAUGGGUCUGUGUUUAUGAGAGCAGUGCCUGUGGAGGGGGAAUGCUGUGAGCCAUCCCAUGUGGGUGAUGGGAACCUAGUCUCUGGUGUUCUGUAAGAACAUAAGCAUCUUUAACCUUAGAGCUGAGCCAUUUCUCCAUCUUCUGCUGUCCCUAGUCUUAACAGUGAUCAGUCAGGCUAGAUUUUGGAAAAAAAAAA